rnacentral:rRNA from 1 species
UACGUAGGGUGCAAGCGUUGUCCGGAAUUUAUUGGGCGUAAAGAGCUCGUAGGCGGUUUGUCGCGUCGGCUGUGAAAGCCCGGAGCUCAACUCCGGGUCUGCAGUCGAUACGGGCAGACUUGAGUGUUGCAGGGGAGACUGGAAUUCCUGGUGGUAGCGGUGAAAUGCGCAGAUAUCAGGAGGAACACCGGUGGCGAAGGCGGGUCUCCGUGGGCAAGCAACGUGACGCUGGAGGAGCGAAAGCGUGGGAGCGAACAGGA